GAUGAACGCUAGCGGCAGGCUUAAUACAUGCAAGUCGAGGGACAGCACAGGUAGCAAUACUGGGUGGUAACCGGCAAACAGGUGCGGAACACGUACACAACCUUCCUUUAAGUGGGGGAUAGCCCAGAGAAAUUUGGAUUAAUACCCCGUAAUAUAGUUGAAUGGCAUCAUUUGAUUAUUAUAGCUACGGCGCUUAAUGAUGGGUGUGCGGCUGAUUAGAUAGUUGGCGGGGUAACGGCCCACCAAGUCUACGAUCAGUAGCUGAUGUGAGAGCAUGAUCAGCCACACGGGCACUGAGACACGGGCCCGACUCCUACGGGAGGCAGCAGUAAGGAAUAUUGGUCAAUGAACGCAAGUCUGAACCAGCCAUGCCGCGUGAAGGAUUAAGGUCCUCUGGACUGUAAACUUCUUUUAUUUGGGACGAAAAAGGGCCUUUCUAGGUCAACUGACGGUACCAGAUGAAUAAGCACCGGCUAACUCCGUGCCAGCAGCCGCCGCCGUAA
rnacentral:rRNA from 1 species